CUGUCUCUGAACAACAAAAACAACAACGACAAAAACCCAAACCCCAAAACCAGGAAGAGGACAUUUCUGAGCCCUCAAAGAAAACUUCAGGGGAAGGUGUCUUGGUUGUUUGUUACAUAGUCACCCAGAGACAACCUCAGAGCCAGGCUCAGAUCCCAGGCUGUGGGGCUGGAUUUCGGGGAGACUUCAGGGACUGGGGAAGAAUUAGGAGGUGACCUGUCAGAAGUUGUCAUGGUCCAGAGUGCUCUUCCCCUGUGCCUCUCCCUGAGGGACCACACUGAGGUUUCUGGCUGGGAUUCCCAAAGCCACUUCACAUCCCAGGGGAUGGGACUCCAUCACACCAAGCACAGAAACUUCCUCUUCUCUGCCCCAGUUAGGGCAGCUGGGGCUUCCCAGAGGUCAAAGACCAAAAAUCAAGGGUGGGGGCAUUAGCUGGCGGAACGGCAGGGCUGUAAAACCCCAGUUCCUACCGUACAGUAAUUUUUUUUUUCUUCAGAGGCAAGGUCCCACUCUGUUGCCCAGGCUGGAGUGCAGUGGCUCAAUCCUAGCUCACCGCAGCCUCAAACUCCUGGGCUCAGGUGAUCCUCCCACCUCAGCCUCCGGAGUAGAUGAGACUACAGGUACACAUCACCACAUCUGGCUAAUUUUUUCAUGUUUUUGUUGAGGCAGGAUCUUGCUGUGUUGCCUAGGCUGGUCUCAAACUCCUGGACUCAAGUGAUCCUCCUGCCUCGGCCUCCCAAAGUGCUGGGACUAUAGGCGUGAGCCAGUGCACCUGGUCCCUACCCCACAUUAAGGGUACAGUGACUGAAUGUCUGCUCUCUCUGCAGCCUGCUAGCCUCCUGAGGUCAACACUGCCUCCAUUACUGCCACCCCUGGGAAAGAGGCCACCAUCUCCAUUGUCCCAUCACUGCAGACAUUACCCCCGUCUGGCUCCCUGCCCUGGUCAGACAAUCUACCAGGAAGGCUAUGUGUAUGAGAAUCCUACUAAUAACUCCUCACUGGGCCACAUCAGGCAGAGGACACCAGCAAGGAGAACCCAGCGAGGGUCAACACUGGACUGCUUUAACGCAGAAGAGGAAAAAAAUUGUAGGAGUCUCCAAAUCUGUGAAAGGACACAGUUGGAAUCAGAAAGAAAUUGCCAGGCAAGAUGGCUCAUGCCUGUAAUCUCAGCAUUUUGGGAGGCCGAGGCGAGAGGAUUGCUGGAGCCCAGGAGUUCAGGACCAGCCUGGGCAACAUAGCGAGAUCCUGUCGCUACAAAAAAUAAAAAAAUUAGCUAGGGCCAGGUGCAAUGACUUAUGCCUGUAAUCCCAGCACUUUGGGAGACUGAGGCGGAAUGAUCGCUGGAGUCCAGGAGUUCAAGACCAACCUGGGUAACAAAGUGAGACACUGUGGCUACAGGAAAAUAAAAAAUUAGCCUGGCGUGGUGGCACACACUCGUAGUCUCAGCUACUCUGGAAGCUGAGGUGGGAGGAUCUCUUGAGCCCAGGAGUUGGAGGCUGCAGUAAGCUAUGAUUGCACCACUGCAUUUCAGCCUGGGCAAAAGAG
rnacentral:lncRNA from 10 species